rnacentral:rRNA from 1 species
CCUACGGGCGGCAGCAGUGAGGAAUAUUGGUCAAUGGGAGCGAUCCUGAACCAGCCAAGCCGCGUGAGGGAAGACGGCCCUAUGGGUUGUAAACCUCUUUUGUCGGGGAACAAAACCCGGGACGUGUCCCGUCCUGCGUGUAUCUGACGAAAAAGCAUCGGCUAACUCCGUGCCAGCAGCCGCGGUAAUACGGAGGAUGCGAGCGUUAUCCGGAUUUAUAGGGUUUAACGGGUGCGUAGGCGGGUUAUCAAGUCAGCGGUAAAAUCGUGGAGCUCAACUCCAACCAGCCGUUGAAACUGAUGAUCUUGAGUGGGCGAGAAGGAGGCGGAAUGCGAGGUGUAGCGGUGAAAUGCAUAGAGAUCACGCAGAACUCCGAUUGCGAAGGCAGCAUACCGGCGCCCGACUGACGCUGAAGCACGAAAGCGUGGGUAUCGAACAGGAUUAGAUACCCGAGUAGUC